rnacentral:lncRNA from 1 species
CACUCCAGCCCUCAGGGGGCAGCCCCGAACUCCCAGGACUUACAACACCAGCAACAGAUCCUCCCCACCUGCCAGACCACAUGGGAGGGGGCAGGGCAGCGCCUCUUCCACACACCAAGAGCCCUGGGCUGCCUGUCUGACACCCCCAUAUCUAUCCCUUCGCAUUUGUGUAAGGAGAGGCAGCUGGAGGCAGCUUUUUUACAGGCAGGGAAAUAUCUCACCUUCCUCCAGCACAGCUGAAGUGCUCAGGGAUUCUAAGCCUCCUCGUAGACCGGCAUCUUCAGACCCCAGGUCACGCAGGGGACCCCUUAGCCUCCGUCCACUGAGUCCAAAAAUACCACAUGCACUGGAUUUGGGGCUGUGAGGACUCCUGGCGGCAGCUCCUGGUGGCAGCCAAAU